GAGUUUGAUCUUGGCUCAGGAUGAGCGCUGGCGGCCGUGCUUAACACAUGCAAGUCGAACGAUGAUGCCCACUUGUGGGUGGAUUAGUGGCGAACGGGUGAGUAACACGUGAGUAACCUGCCCUUAACUCUGGGAUAAGCCUGGGAAACUGGGUCUAAUACCGGAUAUGACUCCUCAUCGCAUGGUGGGGGGUGGAAAGCUUUUUGUGGUUUUGGAUGGACUCGCGGCCUAUCAGCUUGUUGGUGAGGUAAUGGCUCACCAAGGCGACGACGGGUAGCCGGCCUGAGAGGGUGACCGGCCACACUGGGACUGAGACACGGCCCAGACUCCUACGGGAGGCAGCAGUGGGGAAUAUUGCACAAUGGGCGCAAGCCUGAUGCAGCGACGCCGCGUGAGGGAUGACGGCCUCGGUUGUAACGUACUUCUACGUAGGAAGGAAGACGAAGUAGACGGUACCGU
rnacentral:rRNA from 1 species